UAGAAAAGCAUUGAAAUUUAUUGCAUAUAAAGUGUGGAAACCAAAUUAGCUUAAGAAGUAUGGACAGCCUAAGUUCCAUUCGUUUAGACCAUCCUUUACUUCUUUAAUUACCUUAGAAUGUUGAGUACAUUAAAAAAAAAAAUCCAGUAUUAUAAAAACGUAUCACACAUUCGAGUCCAAGUGGUAGCUAGGUGGUAGGAAAGACUACUGCUGGAAACUCCGACAUAUGAAUUAAUCAUAAGUGAAAAAGGCUUACUGGGUGUUUUGUUGGAAAGCUUCACAUGGACCAAGUGUCCUAGACUAGUCUCUGGGGCAUGUUAGGGGCCAAAUAAUUUGGGUUAUUCAAGUGCAUCCAAAGUAUAUGUAACAUGGUAGUAUUCAUGAAUCUGAAAUGAUAUAACCCUUGAGAAACUGUUUGUACGAAUGGUGAAUGCUAUCACUGUACGCAUUCACAGUUUUAUAUUGUAUUUAAUAUAAAAUUAAUAAAUUUGGGUUAAUAAAAGCAGUGGUGUGGACUGGCCUAUUUUCUAGCCAGGGCAUCUAUAGAGUUACGAUGGACAAUCCAGGUGUUUGCACAACGGCCAAAUUGGCACAUGGGGAGGCUUGCAUGGUGGUUGUGUAGUGCAGGCAUGGUGUGAUGUAACCACUGUUACAUAAAAAUAAAAGAAUUACCAUUACAUGUUAUAGGGUCAUAAGGCCAUUACAUAAAAAAAAGGACCCGUAAUGGCCUGUUAUGGCCCCGUAAAGGCCAUAAUGGCCCCCAAAUGGUCCAUUUUAGGGGCACCAUAACGGUUGUUACGGAUACAAGUUUUUCAAUGAAAAAAAACAAGACACCAUAACGGCCAUCACGGAAUGCCUUGUGCAUGUGGGACUAACCAACCUCACAAGUUUUAAUAGUUUUCUAGGACAAGCUUUAAUGUUGAGAUCAGAAGAGAAUCAUCUUCAGUGGCCUGGUCUGGCCAGUGUAGUACAGUGCAGUGAUUGGGACCUUCAGGCAAUUGCUGAAAACUCAUAUUUAUCAGGCGGGCUAACAGAAAAUUAGCUAUUGUCGAUGGUUCUUGAAAUAUUAUUUGUUAGGGCAGUUAUCAUUGUUUGAUAUGCAAACACUCAGGGAUUGUAGAGGUGGCAUACAUUAACUUGCAUUAAACCCAUCACAGUUAAAAAGAAAAAAAGAAAAAAGAUUGGCUGAAUGAUCCUAUCCUCUGAUUCAUGGACACCAGUUUGUUGAUAACAGUGAUGAUCAUUUGAUCACAGUGAUCUUCCUUUAACUCCAUUUUUGGAACUGUGCAUGCAAGCCACUUGUACUGCAAUCAUGAAGAACCAUGCACUAUGACAUUAUGUUUUUUACGGCCAUUUGGGUCGGGAGUUAGAGACCGUUAAACUACAAUCCAUCGUAGACUCUUCUUACACCACCAUAUGUUGCAUUCUAACUGGUGGAUAGGUUGAGAACUGCUGUCAGAUGUUUUGAGUGGCGUUAGACUUAAAAGAUAAUAUUUCCAAGAGUAGGAUGUAUGAGGUGCAGAUGGUGGCGAAUGAGGUGGAGCAGCUAGCAGAGGUCUUUGGGUGUGCACCUGGGGCUCUUUCGGCUUCGUUUCUGGGGAUGCAUCUGUGUGGGAAAGCUAGCUAAACACUUUCAGGAUAAGGUCCUUCUAAUGGCCAUCAUAGGAUAACCACAGUUUCCUUGCAAACAAGAGGUUGAAAUUUCUCAUUCCGCUCCUACUGUUGAUUUGAAUCCACCUUGAAACAAGACUUAGCUGGCAUGACUCAAUACUCCGAUGACAUCAACAUAGAUGGCCAGUCAUUGCUUUCCGAUAAGUUGUGACAUACACCAUCUUGAACAGAAGGUUUCUGAAAUUCUUGACACACAAAAGUUGCGAUAUUCACAAGCAUUUGUUUCGCCCGUGUAUAUUCAUUUAGAUCUCAUAAUCCCCACCAGUGAACUUAUCUGGGUCUUGCACUGAAAAUCAGCAUCAGUGAGUCCAUUUUUUUUUUAGAUUGAUAUUGUUUUGCCCAUUAAUGUCUUGAUUCCUACACGAAUCAGACAAUACAUGACAUCAUAUGCUGUUCAAAGUCUAAAUGACAGAUAUGUGCUACUUCAUAAAUUUCAGUAUGGGGGCUGCCUUUUUUGACUGCCACUUCCUGUCAGAUCCUAAUUUUCUCAACUAUCUAAAUAGUUUGCAGCAAAAUUGACCAUAUCAAAGACUAGCACCAACUUGUAGCAUUGAUGAACAAUGUCCCUUAUCA